rnacentral:rRNA from 1 species
UGGGGAAUAUUGCACAAUGGGCGCAAGCCUGAUGCAGCCAUGCCGCGUGUAUGAAGAAGGCCUUCGGGUUGUAAAGUACUUUCAGCGAGGAGGAAGGCGUUGUGGUUAAUAACCGCAACGAUUGACGUUACUCGCAGAAGAAGCACCGGCUAACUCCGUGCCAGCAGCCGCGGUACUACGGAGGGUGCAAGCGUUAAUCGGAAUUACUGGGCGUAAAGCGCACGCAGGCGGUCUGUCAAGUCGGAUGUGAAAUCCCCGGGCUCAACCUGGGAACUGCAUCCGAAACUGGCAGGCUAGAGUCUUGUAGAGGGGGGUAGAAUUCCAGGUGUAGCGGUGAAAUGCGUAGAGAUCUGGAGGAAUACCGGUGGCGAAGGCGGCCCCCUGGACAAAGACUGACGCUCAGGUGCGAAAGCGUGGGGAGCAAACA